GAACUUACAAAUAGCCUAGGUUUUGUUGGAUACACGGACUUUGGAAAUUUCUAUGAUUUAUAUAGAGAUAGCUCACUAGAAAUAUAUUUACUUACUCAACUACGUGAAUAGUUGAUGGCUACAUUCUCCACUCACUCUGAAAGAUUCUCGCUCCAAAAGAUAGUCAUGAAGACAUCAGGGGGAGCAUCCAGAAGUAUGCUACACUAAUUACUGUAAUCUUCUUCCGUCCAUAAGUUUUCUACCUCACUGGGCUUUUUCUCCAAGCAAGUCUUUAAUGAUGCAACCAACAUAUCAUUUGUGGUCUCCAAGGGGAGUGUUGUAAAGUCAAGAAUGUGGAGCCCAAAAUAGUAGAGCCCACUACCUAAUUAAUUUAAGAGUAAUGAUGAUGCUUCCCAAUACCCACGUGAAGCCAAAGAAAAAUGAGUAAGCAGCCACAAAAUUCUACCUACAAAUAAGGCUUCCCCCCUUCCUUUGCAUAUAUACAUCACCAUCAGAGAAAGAAGAGAGAGCCUAGGCAAAGAUGAGAGAAAGGAAGAAAAGAAAGAAGUGAAGGAAAGAAAGAGGGUGAGUCAGUGGAGAGAAAAAGAAAGCAUAGAGAAAUAUCAGUGAGCUACAAAUAUUGUAAACACAAAAGUUGUAGCCCUAUUAUUUUACAUAGUGGAAAUGUUACUGCUGCUGCUCUCCGAGGACGUAGGCAUGGUUGAACCUUGUUAAAUGUUAUGUCUCAUCUACUUUACUUUAUCGCACAUAUUCCAGUUAUUUUAUAACAAUUUUGUCUCAUUUUAUCCUAUUUUUCACACAAACUUGUCUUACUUUACCCCAUUUUUAUAAAAUAUUAAUUAAAAAUUAAAAACUCAAGUCCAAAAUUUUAAAUCAAAUGAGAUAUUAAAAACAUUAAUAUAUUCUAAAGUUUGGGAGAUGGGUCGAGGGUGGAUUGCAGCUGAGUGGGGUGGGCAUAGGUAGUUGCGGAGACAACCCAGAGAGAGAGAGAGAGAGAGAGAGAGAGAGAGAGAGAGGGGCAGUGAGUGGGUCAUGGAGGGGGGGUGAGGUUUGGGUCGCAGAUAAUAGAGAGAGAAGAGGAGGAUGGGAGCAGAGGGGGUGAUGGAGAGGUAGGAUGCAAGUUUUUUUUUUUAAUCUUCUUUUUUCUAAAAAAAUAAUUUUUCAUUAAUAUUUUUUUUAUGGAUUUUAAUUUUUAAAUUUAAAUUUAAAUUUUUAAUUAAUAUUUUAUGAAAAUUCGGUAAAGUGAGACAAGUAUGUGUGAAAAUGGAG
rnacentral:lncRNA from 1 species